CCUACGGGCGGCACCAGUGGGGAAUUUUCCGCAAUGGGCGAAAGCCUGACGGAGCAAUGCCGCGUGGAGGUAGAAGGCCCACGGGUCGUGAACUUCUCUUCCCGGAGAAGAAGCAAUGACGGUAUCUGGGGAAUUAGCAUCGGCUAACUCUGUGCCAGCAGCCGCGGUAAUACGAAGGGGGCUAGCGUUGUUCGGAAUUACUGGGCGUAAAGCGCGCGUAGGCGGAUAGAUAAGUCAGAGGUGAAAUCCCGGGGCUCAACCCCGGAAUUACCCUUGAUACUGUUUAUCUUGAGUGCAGAAGAGGUAAGUGGAAUUCCGAGUGUAGAGGUGAAAUUCGUAGAUAUUCGGAGGAACACCAGUGGCGAAGGCGGCUUACUGGUCUGCAACUGACGCUGAGGCGCGAAAGCGUGGGGAGCAAACAGGAUUAGAUACCCCAGUAGUC
rnacentral:rRNA from 1 species